GAGCAGAACAGAACACAAUCUUCAUCAUCACACAAGACAAAGCAACAACAAUGAACAACAUCAUUAUCUUCGUCUGGACUCUGUGUAUAUGUAUUCAAGGUUUCAAUGGGCAGGUGAUUGUGACUCAGAUCCCUUCUGUAAAAAUGGUUCAAAUUGGUGAUUCAGUCACUUUAAACUGCAAAAUAAACUUAGCAGUGAGAGAUGCCUGUCCAGGUUCAUAUACUUGUAUGGGUUGGUACCAGAAGAAACCUGGAGAGGCUCCUAAACUCAUGAUUCAUUCUUCAAACCAAAGAAGGUCAAACACUCCAUCUAGAUUCAGUGGCAGCGGAUCCAGAACUGAUUUCACUCUGACCAUCAGUGGAGUCCAGACUGAAGAUACAGGAGAUUAUUACUGUCAGGGAGACCACAACAUCCACAGUAAAGAAGUGUCUGCACAGUGAUAAAGAGUUGUACAAAAACCUCCGUCAGUCAGAGUCACAGUGACUGCACUGAUACAGCUGAGAGAUACUGCAGCUGCUAAUGGGAGGAUCACAAAUAUCACAAUGACUUGAUUUAUCAACAUUUUCUGAUACUGUAAACCCUCUAUGGUACAGUGUUUCCAUAUUUGCUUGUUGCAAAUCCAUAUUUGCUUGUUGCAACAAAUUAAAAUACCCAA